UACGAAGGGGGCUAGCGUUGUUCGGAAUUACUGGGCGUAAAGGGCGCGUAGGCGGCUCUGCAAGUCGGGUGUGAAAUCCCAUGGCUCAACCAUGGAAGUGCACUCGAAACUGCAGGGCUAGAGUCCUGGAGAGGAAGGUGGAAUGCUUGGUGUAGAGGUGAAAUUCGUAGAUAUCAAGCGGAACACCGGUGGCGAAGGCGGCCUUCUGGACAGUGACUGACGCUGAGACGCGAAAGCGGUGGGGA
rnacentral:rRNA from 1 species